AGUCUUAAAAGCUCCAGGCGAGCUAGAACCAGCUCUGGGAGGGGGCGGGCCUCUCCUUUUGUUUCUGGUUCCCCAGGGGUGACAUGUCCCAGGCUUCCCCGCUCCAGACUGCACUGUGGCCUCCAGCUCCUGCCCAAGGCAUCUGGGAGGGGGACCUUGGUGCAUCUCCGGGUCUUCCCCCCCCCCAUGUAAAUCCCAUGAGACCCAUUCCCUGCUUGUGGACUGAUUUAGGGGGACAGGGAUGGAGCCAUUAGAAGCAGUGCAGAGACCAGGAAGGCAGCAUGGGGCAAUGGAAAGAGAAUGGCUUGGAAGUCAGAGGAGCUGAGUUCUAAUCCUGCCUUGACAGCUCACCAGCUGUGUGCUCUUUUUGCAGAGGUAAAGAAAUGGAAAUGGAGGGGGAUUCCCAUCAAUUGAGGAAUGGCUGAACAAGUUAUGGUAUAUGAAUGUGCCACAAUAUGAUGGUCCUGUAAGAAACGAUACAGAUGGGUUUUGGAGAAUCCUGGGAAACUUUUUAUGAACUGAUACAAAGUGAGCAGAACCAUGAGAAAUAUUUCUAUGAUAACAAAAUUGUGAAGACAAAUAACUUUGAAAUACUGAAGAAUUCUGAUCAUUGAAAAGAUCAGCCACAAUUCCACAGGACUCAUGAUGAAAUAUGCUGCUCACAUCCUGACUGAGAAGGGAUGGACUCAAAGUGACAAUGGAGACACAGUUUUUGAACAUGUCCAACAUGGGUAUUUAUUUCUCUUGACUAUACAUAUUAAUUAUGUAUUUUCCCUUCUUUGACAUAGGGAAAUGAAGAGAGAAAGGAGAAUUUUCAUUAAUUGAGCAAAAUAAAAUUUUAUUUAAAAAACAUUUAAAUCACUCAACAAUUAAAUCUUUUAAUCACUCCACAAGUAUUUAUUGUGUACUAACAAAUGUCCUGACUCAUGUUACAUAUUGUUGGGAGGAGAAAGAACUGGAUAAGACAUGAUUCUUUCCCUCAUAGAGUUUAUUACAUUCAAGGAAUAAGACCUUUAACGUGAAAUUUCCAACAUGUUUUGAAUUGAA